rnacentral:rRNA from 1 species
GAAGCUUGCUUCUCUGAUGUUAGCGGCGGACGGGUGAGUAACACGUGGAUAACCUACCUAUAAGACUGGGAUAACUUCGGGAAACCGGAGCUAAUACCGGAUAAUAUUUUGAACCGCAUGGUUCAAAAGURAAAGACGGUCUUGCUGUCACUUAUAGAUGGAUCCGCGCUGCAUUAGCUAGUUGGUAAGGUAACGGCUUACCAAGGCAACGAUGCAUAGCCGACCUGAGAGGGUGAUCGGCCACACUGGAACUGAGACACGGUCCAGACUCCUACGGGAGGCAGCAGUAGGGAAUCUUCCGCAAUGGGCGAAAGCCUGACGGAGCAACGCCGCGUGAGUGAUGAAGGUCUUCGGAUCGUAAAACUCUGUUAUUAGGGAAGAACAUAUGUGUAAGUAACUGUGCACAUCUUGACGGUACCUAAUCAGAAAGCCACGGCUAACUACGUGCCAGCAGCYGCGGUAAUACGUAGGUGGCAAGCGUUAUCCGGAAUUAUUGGGCGUAAAGCGCGCGUAGGCGGUUUUUUAAGUCUGAUGUGAAAGCCCACGGCUCAACCGUGGAGGGUCAUUGGAAACUGGAAAACUUGAGUGCAGAAGAGGAAAGUGGAAUUCCAUGUGUAGCGGUGAAAUGCGCAGAGAUAUGGAGGAACACCAGUGGCGAAGGCGACUUUCUGGUCUGUAACUGACGCUGAUGUGCGAAAGCGUGGGGAUCAAACAGGAUUAGAUACCCUGGUAGUCCACGCCGUAAACGAUGAGUGCUAAGUGUUAGGGGGUUUCCGCCCCUUAGUGCUGCAGCUAACGCAUUAAGCACUCCGCCUGGGGAGUACGACCGCAAGGUUGAAACUCAAAGGAAUUGACGGGGACCCGCACAAGCGGUGGAGCAUGUGGUUUAAUUCGAAGCAACGCGAAGAACCUUACCAAAUCUUGACAUCCUUUGACAACUCUAGAGAUAGAGCCUUCCCCUUCGGGGGACAAAGUGACAGGUGGUGCAUGGUUGUCGUCAGCUCGUGUCGUGAGAUGUUGGGUUAAGUCCCGCAACGAGCGCAACCCUUAAGCUUAGUUGCCAUCAUUAAGUUGGGCACUCUAAGUUGACUGCCGGUGACAAACCGGAGGAAGGUGGGGAUGACGUCAAAUCAUCAUGCCCCUUAUGAUUUGGGCUACACACGUGCUACAAUGGACAAUACAAAGGGCAGCGAAACCGCGAGGUCAAGCAAAUCCCAUAAAGUUGUUCUCAGUUCGGAUUGUAGUCUGCAACUCGACUACAUGAAGCUGGAAUCGCUAGUAAUCGUAGAUCAGCAUGCUACGGUGAAUACGUUCCCGGGUCUUGUACACACCGCCCGUCACACCACGAGAGUUUGUAACACCCGAAGCCGGUGGAGUAACCUUUUAGGAGCUAGCCGUCGAAGGUGGGACAAAUGAUUGGGGUGAAGUCGUAACAAGGUAGCCGUAUCGGAAGGUGCGGCUG